rnacentral:rRNA from 2 species
GUUGUAUAGUCAAGUAAUUAAGUGCAUGUGGUGGAUGCCUUGGCAGUCAGAGGCGAUGAAAGACGUGAUAGCCUGCGAAAAGCUCCGGGGAGGCGGCAAAUAUCCUUUGAUCCGGAGAUGUCUGAAUGGGGGAACCCACCUACUUUAAGGUAGGUAUUGCAACAUGAAUACAUAGUGUUGCAAGGCGAACGAGGGGAAGUGAAACAUCUCAGUACCCUUAGGAAAAGAAAUCAAUUGAGAUUCCCUCAGUAGCGGCGAGCG